rnacentral:rRNA from 1 species
AUACGGGAGGCAGCAGUGGGGAAUUUUGCGCAAUGGGCGAAAGCCUGACGCAGCAACGCCGCGUGGAGGAUGAAGGCCUUCGGGUCGUAAACUCCUGUCAGUGGGGACGAAUGCUUCGCAAGAAGUUUGACUGUACCCGCUGAGGAAGCCACGGCUAACUCCGUGCCAGCAGCCGCGGUAAUACGGAGGUGGCAAGCGUUGUUCGGAAUUACUGGGCGUAAAGGGCGCGUAGGCGGCUUUGCAAGUCAGAUGUGAAAUCCCCGGGCUUAACUCGGGAAUUGCAUCUGAAACUGCUUAGCUUGAGUCCUGGAUGGGAUAGUGGAAUUCCCAGUGUAGCGGUGAAAUGCGUAGAUAUUGGGAGGAACACCUGCGGCGAAGGCGGCUAUCUGGACAGUGACUGACGCUGAGGCGCGAAAGCUAGGGGAGCGAACGGGAUUAGAUACCCCGGUAGG